rnacentral:rRNA from 1 species
GACGGACGCUGGCGGCGUGCUUAACACAUGCAAGUCGAGCGGUAAGGCCCUUUCGGGGGUACACGAGCGGCGAACGGGUGAGUAACACGUGGGUGACCUGCCCUCAGCUCUGGGAUAAGCCUGGGAAACCGGGUCUAAUACUGGAUAUGACUCCAUGACGCAUGUUGUGGGGUGGAAAGCCUUGUGCGGCUGAGGAUGGGCCCGCGGCCUAUCAGCUUGUUGGUGGGGUGANGGCCUACCAAGGCGACGACGGGUAGCCGGCCUGAGAGGGCGACCGGCCACACUGGGACUGAGACACGGCCCAGACUCCUACGGGAGGCAGCAGUGGGGAAUCUUGCGCAAUGGGCGAAAGCCUGACGCAGCGACGCGCGU